UCACAGUCUCAAGCUUGGCUUGUUGUUGGGCCCUUUGUCACCUUGUGACAGGUCCAAAAGAUAAUGACCGGUGUCGUAAAGACUCGAUAUGCAACGAGCUUAUCACAGCACGCAUCUCGCAGUCAUAUGGCCCGGUUAUCACCCUUUUAUUUCUCCAA
rnacentral:misc_RNA from 2 species